ACCGCUUCAGUUAUGUAUAUCUGACACAUUGUUCAAUAGCUUGAACACAAGGAGUGCAUUUACAGUUUUCCCCCUCCUUCUGUGCCGCCGGCCAGUAGAUCUCCGGCCAUGGACGACGAUGGAGGGGCCUUCCCGUCGACGUCUGCUUCGGCGGCAGGAAGGUGCUCAAGGACCGGGCGCUGCUAGUUGAGCCGACGGCCGUGGUGGCGGAGCCGGACCCCAUGGCAUUGGACCGAUGGUUCAGGCCUCGCAUUCUGGUCAACACUGCUCUCCCUUGCCUUUUAGGUCUCUGAGGCGUUGGUUUCCAUUUGACCCUUCCCCAUUGCCGCUUGUUGGCCCCCUUUUGCUGGUCGUUGUGCAAGAGCUGCAACGAGACACAGAUUCUCCAACAUCCAAAGCGAGAAUAUGAUGAAGAAAAUCCCCGUUCUAUAACUAAAUGCGAGCAUCAUUUCCAUAUUUGCUGCAUUCUCAAAUGGAUGGAGCGAAAAGAUACUUGCCCAGUUUGUGACCAGAUUACUUUGGUGGAUGAGAUGUUUGAAUAGGCUUGGUAACCCUGGUGGAUCAUCACUCGAAGCUGUUCGUUACUGAGAAAGUGCAGACAAUAACUAAUUUACUUUUGAUAUUGGUCUAUUCCGAGUGGCUCGCAUGGUAAUGAAUUGAGGGGGCAAAAAUUGAAAGGAUGAAUGUCAUGAAAUGUAUUUACAACGCCUCCUUUGUCAUGCGUUGUGUCAUGCUAUA